rnacentral:lncRNA from 1 species
UGCUCACUGGGCUCUAGUAGCUCACCCCACUCCCUUUAUCCCCAGAGUUGCAGGUACAGGAUAGAUCGGGAAGUCGGCUAGAGUGAAGUAAAGUCAUGUAUGAUGUAAUAGAUAGUAGUGGACAUGAAUAUGAUGUAAUGAGUAUUUAUGACUAUGUUAAUGUAAUGAAAGAGUAAUGUAUAGUCAUGUAAUGAUGAGGAUGAUUGAGGACUAGUAUGUGCUUGACCCUAUGUUAUGGUUAUCCCCUUGACACAUGAUCUAUAGAAAUGUUUUUAUGAUGUAUUUGAUAAUCCAAGCUUAUCGAAUGAUGAGAUACCCCAUUGGAGCAUUUGAUGAGGACUCCAGUGGUGGUUAUGUUAUUAGAUGUGCACAUGUUCAGGUUAAGCUUGGAAAAAGAAAGAAAAAGUUUACAGUUUUAUGUAUGUUGUUGAUCAUGUAUGGGAUAUUACAGGUUACAGGAGGUAUGUUUGGCUUGCUACGGGUCCCGGCGGCCUUAAGCCGAUCUGGAUCCUAGCGCCGGUAACGGGUCGGAUUUCCGGGUCGUUACAA